AAAAAGAUAAGCUAAUAAAGCUAUUAGGUUCAUACCCUAAAUAUAGAAUUCAACUAUUCUUCUUUUUA
rnacentral:tRNA from 1 species